rnacentral:rRNA from 1 species
AUCUAUACAGUGAAACUGCGAACGGCUCAUUAAAUCAGUUAUCGUUUAUUUGAUAGUACCUUACUACUUGGAUAACCGUGGUAAUUCUAGAGCUAAUACAUGCUAAAAGUCCCAACCCUCCGGAUGGGACGUAUUUAUUAGAUAAAAAACCAAUGCCUUCGGGCUUCUUGGUGAUUCAUGAUAACUUUACGAAUCGCAUGGCCUUGUGCCGGCGAUGGUUCAUUCAAAUUUCUGCCCUAUCAACUUUCGAUGGUAGGAUAGUGGCCUACCAUGGUUUCAACGGGUAACGGGGAAUUAGGGUUCGAUUCCGGAGAGGGAGCCUGAGAAACGGCUACCACAUCCAAGGAAGGCAGCAGGCGCGCAAAUUACCCAAUCCCGACACGGGGAGGUAGUGACAAUAAAUACUGAUACAGGGCCCAUUUGGGUCUUGUAAUUGGAAUGAGUACAAUUUAAAGCCUUUAACAAGGAACAAUUGGAGGGCAAGUCUGGUGCCAGCAGCCGCGGUAAUUCCAGCUCCAAUAGCGUAUAUUAAAGUUGUUGCAGUUAAAAAGCUCGUAGUUGAACCUUGGGUCUGGGUGACCGGUCUGCGUCCCCGCAUGCACUGGAAACCCGGAUCUUUCCUUCUGGAGAAUCGCAUGCCCUUCACUGGGUGUGUCGGGGAACCAGGACUUUUACUUUGAAAAAAUUAGAGUGUUCAAAGCAGGCAUUUGCUCGAAUACAUUAGCAUGGAAUAAUAGAAUAGGACGUGCGGUCCUAUUUUGUUGGUUUCUAGGACCGCCGUAAUGAUUAAUAGGGAUAGUCGGGGGCAUCCGUAUUCGAUUGUCAGAGGUGAAAUUCUUGGAUUUUUCGAAGACGAACUACUGCGAAAGCAUUUGCCAAGGAUGUUUUCAUUAAUCAGGAACGAAAGUUGAGGNAUCGAAGACGAUCAGAUACCGUCGUAGUC